UUAAUUGAAGCCAAAAUAGAGGCCUUUCAUUGUUAAUGAAAUUAUUGAUUUUAAAAUCCAAUUAAA
rnacentral:tRNA from 1 species